rnacentral:lncRNA from 1 species
AGACAUUUUAUUGCCGGCACCACAGGCACGGUUGAAUAUGAGUGUAAAACUAAAAUACAAAAUACGAAAUAUACAAUAUAAAUUCCCCUGUUGCGGACGGCACAGCUCGAGCAGCGCUGCCCGCGCAGCAGUUUCCAAUUCUGCGCGUCAGCUACCCGUGCAGACGCUGUCGACGGAUGUCUAUGCAAUUGAUGAAUCGCGAUGCCCGUCCACUCCAGCGCAGUAUCAGCGUUCUUACAAAGUAAGAAUUCCGCGAAUACCCUGCAGCUGGUGGGGAGUGUUAGCUGCUCUCCCUCUUCAAGUGUGGUCGCCCUCGAAUAUCUCAAGUUCUCUAUCAGCGCGUUAACCUGGACCAAAUUCCUUCCCUUCUUGAGUAGGGAUCUGAGAUAGAGGAUGAUGUCGAUGGCUCCGCAGGAGGCUGCUCCUACUCCAAUGGUAAGGAUGGGAUUCACCUUGCCCAUUGUGGUUCGCUCAAUCUCCUUGAUGUAGUUUAGAUUUAGACACCUCGCUGAGCUGGUGUAGGAAUGGUAGGCUCAGGACCUUAUGGGGCCCCGUGAUGUUCAUGGCGGGCACCGAGGGAGCCGUUAAUGGUGGCGAAGUCGUCGAAGGCGACCAGUUGCGUCCCGGGGGUUUCAACCAACGUAUCGGAAUCACAGCUGAUCGUGGCGGGUCUGUUUUUGACAAUAAUGACCCCACCGUCCACGAGGAUGAUGGUCUCCAGGUGGCUGGGUUGAGAGUGUCAAUGCAAAGUGCCUACAGAGUGUAGACCCUGGGCGCAGGAACCCUCCGAUUCCCUGUUGCAGAAGGUGGUAGUAGUAGUGGUGGUGUAGCCCGUAACGGCCCACACCUGGCUCCGAACUCGGCUACGACGUUGUCCAUAAGUUGUAGUAGGGUACCGUUGUGCUCAGCCGGGAGUAGCGUGACCUUCUUACAAGCUAAACUUAAUCUAGGAUACUCUAUAAUGAAAUGAACAAUAUUAAUUGAUUGUGAAUCCUUAAUGCUGGAUACUACUAACAGAUUGGAAAUGGUGACCCCUGUGAAUUGUUUAGUGAGAAUGGAUUCUAUGUCAGCAUGGUCAAGUAGAGAAGGGCUUACCAAGUUGGCUUUGGCCAAGGUGAUUGUGUUCAUGCGCGGCCGGCUCGCCGGCUAUGUUUUAGUUAGGUUCAGAAUUAAGUUUCAGUUUAAUAUUUGACAAAUAAAUUAACGGAUCGUUCAUAUUAACAUCGACAGGAGUCGUAAAACCUUUAUUAACAUAAUUACAUUGUUAAGCCUUAAGGGCCAGCAAAGAAUUUGUCAAAGAAUUUGUACCUCCCCUUCGCUGAUCGUUCAUGUGUUGCGACUACGAUCGCACACUUAUGAGCUAAGCUAAGUCAGCCUCGACAUUGACAAAAAUCAACAACAACAACACCAAGAAGGAGAAGGUUAUGAAGGCAAAUUGGGGAAUCAACAGCGGAUCCAUCGACCAACAAAGGAAACUCCCAUAAACGCAGUGAGUAGAGUGGUAUGUGUGGCAAAAGAGACGGCGUUGUAAAACGCCAAAGAUAUCGAAUAAGUAAACUGCUUAAACUGCUGUAGUAUGCAAGUUAACACAUAUUACAAGUUAUCGCACCACCUUAACUUCAUCAUCUUGCGCCACCCCACACAUAAACAUCUUGCAGCGCUCAGUUCAGAAAGCUGACACAGCACUGACGCUGUUGUGGGCCGUCUCUCACUCCAUUGGCCAACGGCCGUCGCCUGAUUCUGGCGGAUGUGCUGGGGUCAGCGAAUUCCAUUCUUGCAUGAAUGGUUCGCGAGCUGGGGAUCUGGGAGUUAAGUUUCAGUUUUUAGAAUGAAUUAAUAAACGAACGGUUCAAAUCAAUUGCACCAGCUGAACCUGAGAGGCCAGCGCCACAGGGGAUCUAAACACUCCCAACAAAGGGGCAGCCACCUAGACAUCGCUGCCACCACCACCCUCGCCCCGCGAGAACCUCCUGCUGCCACCGCAUGCCGCCGCCGCCCUCGCCCCGCGAGAACUUCCUGCUGACGCCGCACGCCGCCGCCGCAGCAGCACAUUAAAACAUAAUUUAUAUACAUACAUAUAUAUUAAAACACAUAAAUGCGGCUGCUCCGCUGCCGGUGUUGCCGGUGUUGCCAACUCAAGAAAGACGGGUGUCUUUUAAAAUUGAUUAGCCAUAUAACUUGUCUACAUGGCGACCGUGACAUUGAGGCCUGAAAAUAAUUCUGCAAAAACAAUUUACACGCAAAAAAAUGUGACAAUAACAAAAUAACACUGCGAAAUCAGUUUUCACGCAAAUAAUAAAAUGUGUAAGUAGUUCCAAUAAGAGAGUGGAAGAAAAGUAAACGAAGAUAAAGACCUGAAAAGGCACCGACAACGCUACAUAGAGCGUACUUCGAUGACCUGUGCGAUGACCGGCACCGGCACCGCCUGAGCCCAUAGGCCCAUAGGACAACUGCAGCGUAAAAUAUAAGCGUGAGAGGCCUGACGCCCCUUACGCCAUCGUUGGAAACAAGCUGGAGACGGAUCUCCUUAACGCUGCUCAUAUCGAGCAAAGGGACAAGCCGAGUCUAAAGGAGGCUUUAGAGGCUUGUCCAUCCGAUGGACCGCGCCCACUCACAAUAGCUGGGUACCGGGCACGCCAGCAGACGUAACAGCCCAAGAAACAGAAGAAGCGGGGAGGAAAACGCAGCGAGGAACAGGACAAAUUAAAAAACCGGAGGACCUAAGCAGGAAUCUUUGCGAUGCAAAGUAACGCAAUAUAGGCAGCAUUCAUGCCAAUGCCUAAAUUGCCAAUGCUAUCUAUAAAACUUCUACCCACAAGCUGAUGCGUGCAAACGCUGCUUUUAAAAUUCUGAUAUCUAUUAGGCUUUUACGAAAAACAUAUGGCUGAUAUUGUAAUUAUAUAGAGAAAAACCAAUGUAAAUCAGUCAUAUGCCCUAACGCAUACUAUCUUCAUAUUUUCACAAAUUUGUUCUUCUAAAUAUUUCCC